UACGUAGGUGGCAAGCGUUGUCCGGAUUUAUUGGGUUUAAAGGGUGCGUAGGCGGCCCUGUAAGUCAGUGCUGAAAUACCCCGGCUUAACCGGGGGGGUGGCAUUGAUACUGCAGGGCUUGAGUACAGAUGAGGUAGGCGGAAUUGACGGUGUAGCGGUGAAAUGCAUAGAUAUCGUCAAGAACACCGAUAGCAAAGGCAGCUUACUGGGCUGUAACUGACGCUGAUGCACGAAAGUGUGGGGAUCAAACAGG
rnacentral:rRNA from 1 species